rnacentral:rRNA from 1 species
CUCGUAGGCGGUUUGUCGCGUCGGGAGUGAAAACACCGGGCUUAACUCGGUGCUGGCUUCCGAUACGGGCAGACUAGAGGUAUUCAGGGGAGAACGGAAUUCCUGGUGUAGCGGUGAAAUGCGCAGAUAUCAGGAGGAACACCGGUGGCGAAGGCGGUUCUCUGGAAUUACCUGACGCUGAGGAGCGAAAGUGUGGGGAGCGAACA